CGGAAUCACUCAUGCAAUGCGGCUCCUUCGCGCUGUCUGCGCUCACCUGACGACGGCUGGCUACUUCGUUAGCC
rnacentral:sRNA from 1 species